CGCCUCCUGGCGUGCGACUGCGCCUGCGCCUUCGCGUGCGCGUGCGCCCAGGUUCCCGGAAACGCCACGGCCGUUCCCCGCCCCGCGGCGCCGGGGUCAGGGUUGUUCAGAGGUCAGACAAGGUGCUAUGUAUGGCAAGUGGUGGUGACCUCGCAAAUACACAACCAGGAUCAAGACCCAGAUGUGACAGGGAAAAAAAAGAUAAAAAUCAUCAAAACAGAAAUUAAUUCACUGGCUUUAAAUUAGCACGCUUUUCAAAAAAAUAAAGUUUCAAAACACUUCCCAUACUUAAAUCUGUCCUUUCCUUUGUGAUGCUUCCCCUGUUCUUAUGCUUACAAAGUCCUUUUCCCACAAAUUUUAGUUAUUUUUCCUUACACUUGUUUUAUGGUUACAUUUAUAAAACUAUAUACAUUUAAAAAGUGAGAAAGCACUUUUUUGUCUUGUUAGAAAUUAAUCAGUGUACCUUAUGCAAUCAUUUUGGGGAUAAUUCUUUCUUACCCCCUUAAUUGUUAAUACCACUUUCAUCAUAAGCUAAAUUCAUAUUUCCAUGUGAUAUUUUAUGCAUUGCAUUUUCUUGAGCAUCCUGCGUCAUUGGCCAUCAAGUCUUGUGUUGGUACAAGUACCAAAGGGAUAAACAAAUCAGGCAGAAAAUAUGAUUCAUGGUCCUCUUGUUUUGCCUUUUGAAACAGCAGGCCUCUUACCAUGCCCAAAGUUCCCUGCACACUAUGUACUAUCUCUGUGGCUUAAUUUAGUGAAUUUAAUUCAUCCCACUUCCUUUUCACACUGGCUCACCCCAAGUAUAGAAGAAAGUAGGGAGUGGUGUGGAGGGAGGCCAGCAAAUGACAGACCAAGUAUACACUUUGAUAAAGGAGAAAAUCCAAAACAAAGCACUUAGUUAUCUUGAGUGAAAACAAA